GAAAAAUCUGGGACAAAGAAAUAGAGCGGUGGCGGAGACAGAGAGAAAAGAAAAACCAGGGGAAUGAGGAGAGCUUGAGAGGCUAGCGACGGCUGGGAGGUUGAACAGUGGCGAGGUUUUUGAUAGAGAAAGAAACUAAGAAAACGCAGGGCUGUGGGUGGUUGACGGCUAGAAAAGAAAGAGACUAGAGAGAGAGGAGGCUGAGGACGGCUAGGAAAAAGAAACCAGAGAGGAGAAAGGUGCAGCGGCUGGGGUCUUGGGAAUCUGGAGCUGACGGCUAGGGUUCUGGACAAGAAAGCUAAGGGUUUCAGAGAAGAUCUGGGGAAGUAAAGGGGCGGUAGAAAGAGAUCUGAAAGGGAGAAAACAGCAGAGGAAAAGGGAAAACGAGGUGCUGCUACCGCUGCAACAAAUCUGCCUGGGCGUUGUUUUUCCCAGAAACCAACGUCACUUUCCUGAGCUUUCCCGUUUGAUUUACUUCACAGACGUUUGCAGUUCAUGAAACCCAGGGUAUAGGAAUCAUUUCCAGCCUCCCCUUAGUCGAUGAUUAGUCUUCAUUUUGCCGAAAGGAGGUUGUAGAAAUUUUUUCAGAUUUUGGCAGGCUCUUUUCCUCUAAUUUUUGUAUUUAAACAUGAGAGUUUUGUGGCUCAAAGUGAAAAAUGUGCGGUCAUGUUGUAACUUUGAUUCAUGUUUCAUCGAUUAAAUCCAGUAGUGGUGUUUGAAUGAACAAAACCAGAAAACUGCAGCAAGAAACAGGCUACAGACGCAAAUGAAAGAAAGCUGCAUUUCUUUGUCAUGUUUUGCUGCUUUACUUUUGUCCUGUAACAGCCCACGAAGUUGAGUUUCCUCACUUUGUUUGCAUGCUCAAUCUUAUGUCAAUGAUAGUUGUAGAGAAAUUGAUGAGGCUUGGGUUUUGUUUAUAGCUUUGGCCAUCUUUCUGGUUUGUUAACAAGCUGCGAUAUGGUAGGAAAAAUGCAGCAGGCCUGCACUUUCGAUUGCUGAAGCUUUUAGUUUGAUUGAAAUUUGUGGUUUUAUACCAUGUACAUGCUCACACUGAGUUUCCUACUCU